UACAGAGACUGCAAGCGUUAUUCGGAUUCACUGGGCGUAAAGGGUGCGCAGGCGGUCGGGUGUGUCAGAUGUGAAAUCCCGAGGCUCAACCUCGGAACUGCGUCUGAAACUACUCGACUAGAGUACUGGAGAGGGUAACGGAAUUCCGAGUGUAGAGGUGAAAUUCGUAGAUAUUCGGAAGAACACCAGUGGCGAAGGCGACUUACUGGACACAUAUUGACGCUGAGGCGCGAAAGCGUGGGGAGCAAACAGG
rnacentral:rRNA from 1 species